rnacentral:rRNA from 1 species
AGUGAACGCUGGCGGUAGGCCUAACACAUGCAAGUCGAACGGCAGCACAGUAAGAGCUUGCUCUUACGGGUGGCGAGUGGCGGACGGGUGAGGAAUACAUCGGAAUCUACUUUGUCGUGGGGGAUAACGGAGGGAAACUUACGCUAAUACCGCAUACGACGUACGGGUGAAAGCAGAGGAGCUUCGGACCUUUCGCGAUUGUAUGAGCCGAUGUCGGACUAGCUAGUUGGUUGGGUAAAGGCCCACCAAGGCUACGAUCCGUAGCUGGUCUGAGAGGAUGAUCAGCCACACUGGAACUGAGACACGGUCCAGACUCCUACGGGAGGCAGCAGUGGGGAAUAUUGGGCAAUGGGCGAAAGCCUGAUCCAGCCAUACCGCGUGAGUGAAGAAGGCCUUCGGGUUGUAAAGCCCUUUUGUUGGGAAAGAAAAGCAGCAGGUUAAUCCCCCGCUGUUCUGACGGUACCCAAAGAAUAAGCACCGGCUAACUUCGUG